rnacentral:lncRNA from 1 species
GUUUGAGAAACCAAAUUAAAAUAAGUCAUAAGAUAGAAUCCUAGUAAGACUAGGAUUCCACCUUGCACCACAUAAGCCUUCCCCACGCCCUCUCUCUCAUUAAAUGCCAAUCUCUUCUUAUUUUGUGUGACAAAAGUCCUCUCCUAGGUCUCUCCCACGUUCACAAAAGGUCUCCUCUCUUCUUUCUUACAUGGAAGGUGGUUUGGAUCAAAUCAAAAAGGAAUAAGUUUGGAUUUCGAAUUCUAUGAGAUAGAGUUUUAGAAAUCCAAAACUCUUUCAAUUUUGUACCGAAUUUAUCCAAAUUUUUUU